rnacentral:rRNA from 1 species
AUUGAACGCUGGCGGCAGGCCUAACACAUGCAAGUCGAGCGGCAGCGGGAAAGUAGCUUGCUACUUUUGCCGGCGAGCGGCGGACGGGUGAGUAAUGCCUGGGAAAUUGCCCAGUCGAGGGGGAUAACAGUUGGAAACGACUGCUAAUACCGCAUACGCCCUACGGGGGAAAGCAGGGGACCUUCGGGCCUUGCGCGAUUGGAUAUGCCCAGGUGGGAUUAGCUAGUUGGUGAGGUAAUGGCUCACCAAGGCGACGAUCCCUAGCUGGUCUGGGAGGAUGAUCAGCCACACUGGAACUGAGACACGGUCCAGACUCCUACGGGAGGCAGCAGUGGGGAAUAUUGCACAAUGGGGGAAACCCUGAUGCAGCCAUGCCGCGUGUGUGAAGAAGGCCUUCGGGUUGUAAAGCACUUUCAGCGAGGAGGAAAGGUUGAUGCCUAAUACGUAUCAACUGUGACGUUACUCGCAGAAGAAGCACCAGCUAACUCCGUGCCAGCCGCCGCCGUAAGAC